rnacentral:rRNA from 1 species
GAUGAACGCUGGCGGCGUGCCUAAUACAUGCAAGUCGAGCGAACAGACGAGGAGCUUGCUCCUCUGACGUUAUCGGCGGACGGGUGAGUAACACGUGGAUAACCUACCUAUAAGACUGGGAUAACUUCGGGAAACCGGAGCUAAUACCGGAUAAUAUAUUGCACCUCAUGGUUCAAUAGUGGAAGUCGGUUUUUCUGUCACUUAUAGAUGGAUCCGCGCCGCAUUAGCUAGUUGGUAAGGUAACGGCUUACCAAGGCAACGAUGCUUAGCCGCCCUGAGAGGGACAUCGGCUACCUUGUAAGUGAGACUCGGUCCAGACUCCUACGCGAGGAAGCAGCAGGGACUCUUCCGCAAUGGGGGAAAGCCUGACGGAGCAACGCCGCGUGAGUGCUGAUGGUGUUCUGAUCGUAAAACUAUGUUAUUCGGGAAGUACAAAUGUGUAAGUACCUAUGAACAUCUUGACGGUACCUAAUCAGAAAGCCACGGCUAACUCCGUG